CACGUAGGGUGCGAGCGUUGUCCGGAAUUAUUGGGCGUAAAGAGCUCGUAGGCGGUGUGUCGCGUCGGCCGUGAAAACCUGCAGCUUAACUGUGGGCUUGCGGUCGAUACGGGCAUCACUGGAGUUCGGCAGGGGAGACUGGAAUUCCUGGUGUAGCGGUGAAAUGCGCAGAUAUCAGGAGGAACACCGGUGGCGAAGGCGGGUCUCUGGGCCGAUACUGACGCUGAGGAGCGCAAGCGUGGGGA
rnacentral:rRNA from 1 species